rnacentral:rRNA from 1 species
AAUACCCGCUGAACUUAAGCAUAUCAGUAAGCCGGAGGAAAAGAAAC